AUGGGGCCGCGUCAGGAGUCUCCAGGCAGGAGGACCUGCCACAGGUUGUGAAAGGGAGAAGUGAAACCCAAGAGAUGGGGACUCCCCAACAUUGAGUUUCCCCGCCCCUGACACCGCCCUGGGUCUGAGACCCUGAGAGGCAGGCCCAGGGACCUGGGACUUUGCCCGGACCCCUCCCCUACCGCACAGCGUGCUCUUUGUCACACUGGCUCCCUGAGUCCUGGCCCAGGAGCUGGAAAAGUUUGUCAGCAGUGAGAAGCUGUCAAGUUUAUUGGUGCAUUGCAAGUUCUCCAAAACUCUGAUUUUCUCUUGAGAGCUGACAUUUGAUCAAGGCAACAAGUCCUCUUAGCUGUCAUAGGUAAAACAUCCCUAGAAAAAGAAUCUCAGGAUUUUCCCUCGUGUGUGUUUUCAUCUUGCUGCUUCAUGGUCCGUGCUACCAGCUGCAGUUGUCAGGACAAUGAAACCAAACUGGAAGGACGGGAGCAGAAUUUCCUGCCAAUUUUGGUAGAUCUUUGAGUUGUACGUCAGACCUGGGGCUGCUCACUCCACGCGUGUUCAACCUGCCCCUGGGGUUCCCGACAAUGUUCCCAGCUCUGUGAUCAGCAGUGACUUCCCACCCGCCAAUGCAUUGUUACUGCUCUUGAGAGCAUCUCCCAAGAUAUUCGCGUGACCAUAUGGUGGCUUGGAGAGAUGGCGGAAAGAGUGUUUUUGCUUUCUACGGGAGUAAGCAGUGGUGAAGAAUAACAGCUAUUGCAGUUUGCACCCAUCACCUCCAUUCUUGCUCAGUUUUACCUCCGUGCGAAUGUCAACAUGGUGAAAAGGCAAAUAAUGCCUAAGUAAUGUUAGGAAAAUAGAUUUAACUUCAUGGAUUCUGUGAAAGGGCCUCAGGGAUGUCAGGUGUUACAGGGACCACACUUUGAGAACGGCUGCUCUGACUAUCCCUGGGAGAGUCUCCCAGCUGGUCCUGUGCUGGCCUCCUCUUCACUCAGCAGAAUCCCUUUCCCUGAGCUGCACCUGCUGUCUCUGAAAACUCAGCUCUGACUCUAGCCCCUGAGUGCGUCUAGAAGAGAACUCACCUUCUGGAAAUAUGAUGGCAGAGAGGGUCCCCAGGCUGGGAAGGGAGGCGGAGGGACAGGGAUUUCCCUUUUGUAAUUGGGAACAGUUUGUGCUGAAGGCACCAGACCGAUGCAUAAGCAAUUUUGAUUUUCUGAAACAUCAGCCUCAUAUGUAUUCACAUCCCAUACGGAAUCCGAUGUCGUCUUUAGGAGAAAUCAUGUUCGUCUUUUCCCUUGACAUGUAUCUAGUGCAUCUGACUUGAGGCCCACAAGGCACACAGAGCGGUACCAUCCAAUACAACAUUCUGUGCGGAGGGAAUUGUUCUGUGCCUCCCCAUCCAGUACGGUGGCCACGAGAUGCAUGUGGCUCUAGAGAUGCGUGGGGCACGUGAAAUGGGGCUGGUGAGCUGGGCAGCUGCAUUUAUAAUUGUUUUAAAUGAAUAGGAAUUUAAGUAGCCAUACGUGCCUCGGAGCUACUAUUCAGACAGUACGUAUCUAGAACGCUCUUAGUUUUCAGGAUUCUCCUCAAGGAAGAUACUGUGUGACUCAUAGGUGUAUGUGUAUUAAAUUUAUCUUCACAUGGAAGUUA